CGGGGUGGAGUAAUGUCUGGGAAACUGCCUGAUGGAGGGGGAUAACUACUGGAAACAGUAGCUAAUACCGCAUAACGUCGCAAGACCAAAGAGGGGGACCUUCGGGCCUCUUGCCAUCGGAUGUGCCCAGAUGGGAUUAGCUAGUAGGUGGGGUAAAGGCUCACCUAGGCGACGAUCCCUAGCUGGUCUGAGAGGAUGACCAGCCACACUGGAACUGAGACACAGUCCAG
rnacentral:rRNA from 1 species